rnacentral:rRNA from 1 species
AGCAAUACGUCAGCGGCAGACGGGUGAGUAACGCGUGGGAACGUACCUUUUGGUUCGGAACAACACAGGGAAACUUGUGCUAAUACCGGAUAAGCCCUUACGGGGAAAGAUUUAUCGCCAAAAGAUCGGCCCGCGUCUGAUUAGCUAGUUGGUGUGGUAACGGCGCACCAAGGCGACGAUCAGUAGCUGGUCUGAGAGGAUGAUCAGCCACAUUGGGACUGAGACACGGCCCAAACUCCUACGGGAGGCAGCAGUGGGGAAUAUUGGACAAUGGGCGCAAGCCUGAUCCAGCCAUGCCGCGUGAGUGAUGAAGGCCCUAGGG